rfam:Toxocara canis scaffold971, whole genome shotgun sequence.
CGGGCAGUAGCUCAGUGGUAGAGCCCCCGCUUCGUAUGCGGGAGUACCUGUGUUCGGUUCCCGGCUGCUUAC